rnacentral:rRNA from 1 species
UGCCAGCAGCCGCGGUAAUACGGAGGGGGUUAGCGUUGUUCGGAAUUACUGGGCGUAAAGCGCACGUAGGCGGACUGUUAAGUUAGAGGUGAAAUCCCGGGGCUCAACCCCGGAACUGCCUUUAAUACUGGCAGUCUAGAGUUCGAGAGAGGUGAGUGGAAUUCCGAGUGUAGAGGUGAAAUUCGUAGAUAUUCGGAGGAACACCAGAGGCGAAGGCGGCUCACUGGACAGAUACUGACGCUGAGGCACGAAAGUGUGGGGAGCAAACAGGAUUAGAUA